rnacentral:rRNA from 1 species
UACGUAGGGAGCAAGCGUUGUCCGGAAUCAUUGGGCGUAAAGCGCGCGUAGGUGGCCUCAUAAGUCCGUUGUGAAAGUCAAAGGCUCAACCUUUGAAAGCCGAUGGAUACUGUGAGACUAGAGUACGGAAGAGGCGAGUGGAAUUCCUGGUGUAGCGGUGGAAUGCGCAGAUAUCGGGAGGAACACCAGUGGCGAAGGCGACUACCUGGCCUGUUCUUGACGCUGAGGCGCGAAAGCUAGGGGAGCAAACGGG